CGCCGAAGGAGGAGCUUGCUCUUCUGGAUGAGUUGCGAACGGGUGAGUAACGCGUAGGUAACCUGCCUGGUAGCGGGGGAUAACUAUUGGAAACGAUAGCUAAUACCGCAUAAGAGUAGAUGUUGCAUGACAUUUGCUUAAAAGGUGCAAUUGCACCACUACCAGAUGGACCUGCGUUGUAUUAGCUAGUUGGUGGGGUAACGGCUCACCAAGGCGACGAUACAUAGCCGACCUGAGAGGGUGAUCGGCCACACUGGGACUGAGACACGGCCCAGACUCCUACGGGAGGCAGCAGUAGGGAAUCUUCGGCAAUGGACGGAAGUCUGACCGAGCAACGCCGCGUGAGUGAAGAAGGUUUUCGGAUCGUAAAGCUCUGUUGUAAGAGAAGAACGAGUGUGAGAGUGGAAAGUUCGCACUGUGACGGUAUCUUACCAGAAAGGGACGGCUAACUACGUGCCAGCAGCCGCGGUAAUACGUAGGUCCCGAGCGUUGUCCGGAUUUAUUGGGCGUAAAGCGAGCGCGGGCGGUUAGAUAAGUCUGAAGUUAAAGGCUGUGGCUUAACCAUAGUACGCUUUGGAAACUGUUUAACUUGAGUGCAAGAGGGGAGAGUGGAAUUCCAUGUGUAGCGGUGAAAUGCGUAGAUAUAUGGAGGAACACCGGUGGCG
rnacentral:rRNA from 1 species